UAUAACGAAAUCUCAACUUUUUAGUGAUUUAUUCUGAUUCGGCAAAGUGAAUAUUAAUCUCAUUAAAAGUGAGGUUAUUGUCGGGAAUCAAGGUGGGCAAAAAAAAAGCGCCCGCAGGCGCUUUUUAUA
rnacentral:sRNA from 1 species